CCUACGGGAGGCAGCAGUGAGGAAUAUUGGUCAAUGGACGAGAGUCUUAACCAGCCAAGUAGCGUGAAGGAUGACUGCCCUAUGGGUUGUAAACUUCUUUUAUAUGGGAAUAAAAUGUUCCACGUGUGGGAUUUUGUAUGUACCAUCUGAAUAAGGAUCGGCUAACUCCGUGCCAGCCGCCGCGGUAAUACGGAGGAUCCGAGCGUUAUCCGGAUUUAUUGGGUUUAAAGGGAGCGUAGGUGGAUUGUUAAGUCAGUUGUGAAAGUUUGCGGCUCAACCGUAAAAUUGCAGUUGAAACUGGCAGGCGUGAGUACAGUAGAGGUGGGCGGAAUUCGUGGUGUAGCGGUGAAAUGCUUAGAUAUCACGAAGAACUCCGAUUGCGAAGGCAGCUCACUGGACUGCAACUGACACUGAGGCUCGAAAGUGUGGGUAUCAAACAGGAUUAGAUACCCGUGUAGUC
rnacentral:rRNA from 1 species